rnacentral:rRNA from 1 species
GUCCACGCCCUAAACGAUGUCGACUGGUUGUUGGGGGUUUGACNNNNNCAGUAACGAAGCUAACGCGUGAAGUCGACCGCCUGGGGAGUACGGCCGCAAGGUUAAAACUCAAAGGAAUUGACGGGGACCCGCACAAGCGGUGGAUUAUGUGGAUUAAUUCGAUGCAACGCGAAAAACCUUACCUACCCUUGACAUGUCCGAGAGCCCGUAGAGAUAUGGGUGUGCCCGAAAGGGAAUCGGAACACAGGUGCUGCAUGGCUGUCGUCAGCUCGUGUCGUGAGAUGUUGGGUUAAGUCCCGCAACGAGCGCAACCCUUGUCAUUAGUUGCUACAUUUAGUUGGGCACUCUAAUGAGACUGCCGGUGACAAACCGGAGGAAGGUGGGGAUGACGUCAAGUCCUCAUGGCCCUUAUGGGUAGGGCUUCACACGUAAUACAAUGGCGCGUACAGAGGGUUGCCAAGGAGCGAUCUGGAGCCAAUCCCGUAAAGCGCGUCGUAGUCCGGAUUGCAGUCUGCAACUCGACUGCAUGAAGUCGGAAUCGCUAGUAAUCGCGGAUCAGCAUGUCGCGGUGAAUACGUUCCCGGGUCUUGUACACACCGCCCGUCACACCAUGGGAGUGGGUUUCACCAGAAGCAGGUUGCCUAACCGCAAGGGGGGCGCCUACCACGGUGAGCUUCAUGACUGGGGUGAAGUCGUAACAAGGUAGCCG